CUGGCUGAAGAUAUGGACUCUAACAAAACAAGCUUGUAGACUGUUGGAUCAGGGAAAUGGAUGGUUCAUCUGAUUUGUCUGGCACUUAAAUUUAUUUAUGUGCAGAAUAUUUAAUAAUCUGACUUAAUUCUAAGUCUCUGGAUUUGAAAACAGAACUCAUUAAACAGAAGUAAAGACCAGACUGAAGGGAAAUUGUGGCAAAGCAGUAGGGAGUGGAGAAUAAUGUGAGAAGCAAAUAAGGAUUUGCUUUACUGACCAGGAAAAGCUUACCGGGUUGGGGGGAUGGGAGAAGGUAGGACUAUUCUUAGCACAUGGUGCAAGUGCUUUGGAUCAGCACUUCAGAGAAUCAUUUCGUUAUGUUGUCAGUAAUGUUUAAGUUAACUUUGCAGAAACAAAACCAAUAAAUGCUAUUAAGGCUAAUCACAAAUGAGUGAGAUCCCACUCUGUCCACCCUACAGCUUGUAUCUGACUGAAAUAUGAUUUCCACGUUUGUCUUUGCCUUCAUUUGUAACUUCAGUAAUAAGGCCCUGGAGCAGUACUGCGCUGAUAACAAAAUCAUUCACCUGAGCUGCUUCUGCCCUUGGUUUGUCUGCAUACAAUUGUAUUUAUGUCCUUCUUGCCUCCUUGGAUGUGUGCCUUUUUAUACCUUUUAGAGGAAGCUGUGCAACCACCUGUUCUUUUUGGCAGGGCAAAUUGGCAAAAUGUUUUUUCAUGUAUACCUGAGACUGGCUUACAUGGAAGAAGACAGCAAAAUACAGCCGUGUUGUGCCCUUAAUCACCCUGAGCAAUGAAGUGCAGCAUCAAAAGCUUUUUGCCAGCGAAGCAGAAUGCCAAACUCCAUGCAAGGCUUAUGGUAGACUUGGGAGUUUUGAAUGGCUGAAGAAAAACUGAAUGAUCAUAUUUUUGCAGUUCUGCUGGUGUAUGCAGUUUGUGCUUUGUCUGUGGCCUUCAGAAGCGAGGAGGGGAGCAGCACGGGAACUUUGAUGUCAGCCAGCAAUUCUGCAUGACUUGUUCCUCUGAUGUUCCAAAAACCAAAAGUACUGCUAUUCCUGUCCCCCGAGACCAGUCACACUCUGCUGGUCGCAUCUCCGUGGCCACCAGACAGCACCACUGACAGUGGCUCGACUUGAUUUGCUGUGGCAGCUUAACCCCGUGCUGGGGAACCAAGCUGUUCCUGUCAGUCACGUGUCCUGCAGUGCUUCAUCAGAUGUUGGCACAUGACCAAGAGGAGUUCAGCAGCUUUGACAGGGUCUGCUGAGGAUGGAGCAACAAAGUGGCCUCUCUGAGGCUUUGGCUGUUGCUGACAUAACAGAGCAAGUGAUACACUGCAGAUGACGCAUGUCUUGGAGUGCAUGUGAGGAUGCCCCUAGGAUCUGGCCUUCAUCCUGCUCCUUCCCACACGUUUCCCUCACACCUUGGCAUCAUUUCUGUGCUGUGACAGAGUCAUCAAGGCUAGCAAGAGCCUCGACUACACCACUUUCCUCCUGGCCCCCAGAACGUGGCAAAUGGACAUCCGUUGACAACAUAUGACGAGGUACCCUCCUGGUGGCCUGAUGUGUGUGAGGGGAACAUAUCUUGCCGUGUGGCUACUUGUGUACCUCUUGUUGGGACCAAAUGCAACUGUUCUCUAUCGUAUGGCUGGCUGGAUGUGUAGCCAGCAUGUGGUGGAGACUAUGAAAGGUUUGGUCAGGUGUCAGAUUUAAGUUCAAUAAAUGAUGUGGAAGGAGCUUUG